rnacentral:Y_RNA from 1 species
GCGACGGAUACUUCCAUUGGACUGACGGUUGCGGGUUCGAGUCCCGCCCGGCCACGGCCGGUAGCUCAAUCGGGUAGAGCAUCAGUGAGCCCGUCGCCGACUC